CUUUCUUGUUCUGCUCUGGAGCUUUCUUUUUCUUCCAAUCUUCUAAUCUUCUGCGGGAAGUUGAAGAAGAAACAGAGGUUGAGAGAAAGAGAGAGAGAGACUGAGAGUUGGAGAGCUUGAGAUGGAGCUCACGGAUGAGGAGUUGAAGAGACUGAAACUUGGUGUCCUAAAAUGUCGUCUUCAUUAAAUAAUUUGGGUAUUCGAUAAGCUUCCGAUUGCGCGGAGGAACCACUUUUUUAUAUCGGGGAUCAGCUUGGAGGACUAGGUAGGAACCUUAGUUAUUUGAUAGAUAUCCUUUUUGUAUAGAAUGGACUUUAGAAUGUUACGACCUGAAAAUUUUGUUUAGUUGUAUCACUGAUGUGAGAGCGGAAAAGAAAUCUUCGGAAAGUCUAGUUGGUUUAGCAAUGUAGUUUUGCUAGAAUCGUACUUAUAUAAAUAUAUAUGCGAGAGAAUUUGUAGUAGUAUGUUUUUUUAGAGUUAUGGAAAGCAGUUUUUAUAUGAAUAGUUACGUGAUAAUGGAUGUCGAGGAAAUAUAGGGAAAAUUCAUCUGAAAUUUCGGGUCGUGACAGUAUUUUAUUGUUUUUCUAAGAGUAUUGUAAG